UACGUAGGGGGCGAGCGUUGUCCGGAAUUAUUGGGCGUAAAGAGCUCGUAGGCGGUUUGUUGCGUCGGCCGUGAAAACCUGCAGCUUAACUGUGGGCCUGCGGCCGAUACGGGCAGACUUGAGUUCGGUAGGGGAGACUGGAAUUCCUGGUGUAGCGGUGAAAUGCGCAGAUAUCAGGAGGAACACCGGUGGCGAAGGCGGGUCUCUGGGCCGAUACUGACGCUGAGGUGCGAAAGCGUGGGGAGCAAACAGG
rnacentral:rRNA from 1 species